UACGGAGGGGGCUAGCGUUGUUCGGAAUUACUGGGCGUAAAGCGCACGUAGGCGGCUUUGUAAGUUAGAGGUGUAAGCCCGGGGCUCAACUCCGGAAUUGCCUUUAAGACUGCAUCGCUAGAAUUGUGGAGAGGUAAGUGGAAUUCCGAGUGUAGAGGUGAAAUUCGUAGAUAUUCGGAAGAACACCAGUGGCGAAGGCGACUUACUGGACACAUAUUGACGCUGAGGUGCGAAAGCGUGGGGAGCAAACAGG
rnacentral:rRNA from 1 species